rnacentral:rRNA from 1 species
UACAGAGGUCUCAAGCGUUGUUCGGAUUCAUUGGGCGUAAAGGGUGCGUAGGCGGCGCGGUAAGCCGGGUGUGAAAUCUUGGAGCUUAACUCCGAAACUGCAUUCGAUACUGCCGUGCUUGAGGACUGGAGAGGAGACUGGAAUUUACGGUGUAGCGGUGAAAUGCGUAGAUAUCGUAAGGAAGACCAGUGGCGAAGGCGGGUUGCUGGGCUGACACUGACGCUGAUGCGCGAAAGCCAGGGGAGCGAACGGG